rnacentral:lncRNA from 1 species
AUACCCUUAUUCUUACUAUGACUCACACCGAGGUUUACUAGGGCCAAGAAUACAUAUUUACAUGUUAAAUAUUUAUUGUACUAAAAUUAUUCACUUAGAUGCUUAACAUGUUGAAACAAGCAAGUAUGUCGAACUACUUAUUCAUAAGCGUACACGUCGAUAAACGAGUCCUUAAAGGCAUACAUAUGUGUAUAAUAGACCAUAACUAGUCAUGAACAUAAUAUUCAGUCAUGAAUAUAUUACCACUUCAUUAAGAACCUGUGUGUAAAGUUUUAGUCUAUUAAGCUAGCACGUACGUAAAGCAGGGAUGUCAAGCUAGCACGUGUGUAAUUUGGCCGCAAAGCUAACAUAUCAAUCUCUUUUAGGUCAACAUUUAGAUUUAGGUUUGUUUCUACCUUAGAUUGUGUCACAUUUCUAAGUGUAUUAUGGACAUAAUUAGAUUCACCUUUCUUCAUGAACUUUGUGUAUUUAUGUCUUAGCUUUCUAACAAGAUAUAUUACAUCUAAUUCUGGCCUUCCUAAUUUAAGUUAUGAAUUUUUCUUUGCAAGCUGCCCAAUCAGGUUCUAACAAGUAUAAUUUUGGUAUCUGUUUUUAAUCUAAUAAAAUAUAUCGUAUGCAUAUAUUUGCAUACAGAUUCAAGUUUAACUUUCUUGUACAAAGUUUUAGGUAUACUACUCAGGGUUCAUUUGGCACUGGUCUUAAUUCAUUUCAAUGAGUAAAUCAUUAGUUAUGGUCUAAGUGAUACAGACUGUUUCAGAUGCACAAUCCUCUGUAACCAGUUUAGGUUCACUAGCCAUUUAUAUACAAUUAGCUACAGAUUCAAAAUUUGGUCGCUACAGAUUCAAAAUUUGAUUACUUCAGUAAAGUUUUAGAUUUUUGUCAUAGCUUCCAUUAGGUAUGUUAAAUUUGGGCGAGGCCUAACUCACCCCAAAAGCUAGCUCAAGGGGGAGGAGUGCCUAUGGCCCAUAUAAGGGGCACAUUACCCCUUUCCACAACCGAUGUGGGAUUCAAUACACCCCCUCACGCCCAGAAUUUUUUUCUGGUGCGUGGCACAUUUAUGGGGCGCCCAAUAUCGGAUGGGGAGGCUCUGAUACCAUGUUAAAUUUGGGCUAGGCCUAACUCACCCCAAAAGCUAGCNNNNNNNNNNNNNNNNNNNNNNNNNNNNNNNNNNNNNNNNNNNNNNNNNNNNNNNNNNNNNNNNNNNNNNNNNNNNNNNNNNNNNNNNNNNNNNNNNNNNNNNNNNNNNNNNNNNNNNNNNNNNNNNNNNNNNNNNNNNNNNNNNNNNNNNNNNNNNNNNNNNNNNNNNNNNNNNNNNNNNNNNNNNNNNNNNNNNNNNNNNNNNNNNNNNNNNNNNNNNNNNNNNNNNNNNNNNNNNNNNNNNNNNNNNNNNNNNNNNNNNNNNNNNNNNNNNNNNNNNNNNNNNNNNNNNNNNNNNNNNNNNNNCCCCUGGAGCUAGCUUUUGGGGUGAGUUAGGCCUGUCCCAAAUUUAAUAAGGUACAUGUUAGUCUUAAUUUCAAUAAUUAUACAAUAAGUUAUGAGGCUUCCAACACAGGCUGUCUUGUUGGAACCUAUUCUGCCAGUUUUGUGUUUUUAGCUUCCAUGUUGUAUCUAUUUGCUUUAAGCCUUCCCAUCAUUAUUUCAACAUUCAUAUUACAAAUCCAUACAAUCAAAAGAACAUUUACAGCAAUCAAAACCAAUCCUUAAUUUUACAUAUUCAUGAGAAAAUCAAAGGAAAAACAAAACUUCAAAAGCUAGCUCAAGGGGGAGGAGUGCCUAUGGCUCAUAUAAGGGGCACAUUACCCCUUUCCACAACUGAUGUGGGAUUCAACAUGUGGAAAGGGGUAAUGUGCCCCUUAUAUGGGCCAUAGGCACUCCUCCCCUUGAGCUAGCUUUUGGGGUGAGUUAGGCCUAGCCCAAAUUUAACAUGGUAUCAGAGCCUCCCCAUCUGAUAUUGGGCGCCCCAUAAAUGUGCCACGCACCAGUAAAAAAUUCAGGGCGUGAGGGGGUGUGUUGAAUCCCACAUCGGUUGUGGAAAAGGGUAAUGUGCCCCUUAUAUGGGCCAUAGGCACUCCUCCCCCUGGAGCUAGCUUUUGGGGUGAGUUAGGCCUGUCCCAAAUUUAAUAAGGUACAUGUUAGUCUUAAUUUCAAUAAUUAUACAAUAAGUUAUGAGGCUUCCAACACAGGCUGUCUUGUUGGAACCUAUUCUGCCAGUUUUGUGUUUUUAGCUUCCAUGUUGUAUCUAUUUGCUUUAAGCCUUCCAAUCAUUAUUUCAACAUUCAUAUUACAAAUCCAUACAAUCAAAAGAACAUUUACAGCAAUCAAAACCAAUCCUUAAUUUUACAUAUUCAUGAGAAAAUCAAAGGAAAAACAAAACUUCAUACAAACACCAAACCUUUUGCACAAUUCUUUUCAAAAUCUUUAGGUACACCUUAGUUACUUUUUUUCCUUGCCUUCCCCCUUUUAUGUACCUUCCUCCUUUUGAAUUUGUUCUUUACAAAGAAUAAGAAAAACAUGGGUUUUAAUUCAUUUAACAAUAUAUAAUUGAUUGAAAACAUUAAAGAAUAUGUUUGCCUAACCUAAUUUUCAAUUUCUAUCACUUACCAUUUAAGCACCUAAACUUCUCUCCUUCUUUCCUCCUUUUCUAUGGUUCCUUUGCUGGUUAUUUCACUUAGGAAAGGAUUUUGCAUGGAUGAAGAUUUUGUCUUAACGGAGAAAUAUGGUGGAUUAGCAACAAAUUCAACUAUAUCUUUCUUCAUACCUGGCCACCAAUAAUGCAAUUUCAAAUCUUGAUACAUUUUAGUGCUACCAGGAUGCAUAGCAUAUGAACUAUUGUGUGCUUCCUCCAAAAUGUUCUUCCUCAGGUUACCAACAUUAGGUACACAUAUUCUGCCUUCGUAAUACAAAUAGCCAUCAUCCCGAACCACAUGUUUCUGCUUUUUCCCCUCUUGGACUUGCCUUAUCCACAAAGCUAUUUCAGUAUCCCCUUUCUGUGCUUCCUGGACUUGUUGGAGUAGAUUGGGUCUAAACUUUAUUUUUGCUAUGAUAGCCCCAUCAUUAGCUAAAGAUAGACGAGCAUUCAAAACUCUCAGAGCAGGAAAUCAUGCCAUAUACAGUUUAGCAGUACUGCGCCCUAAUGGGCUACAUGAUAUGAUAUUUUCGACACACUAUGUGUCAUAUAGUUUCUCGGCUUUUGAGCCAUACAAGCACAGCAUUCGGCCCCCAGGCCAUACACUUUGGCACUUUGUGCUAUACAGAUAUAGUUUUCCCUUAUCUAGCUAGUUGAUCCUGCGAAGAGUUUAUAGGGGAUAAGAUUUAAUUAUAUGACUUGUUAAUACCUUACAAGCGUGCACACAAUAUGGUUGCCAUAAUAUGAAUGACCUUACAGUUAUAUAACUACAUGACUUAAUUUACCCACUUUUCACCCAUUGACACAUAAAAUUUUCACUCAUUUUUAUAAGAUUAUUUCAUUGUAACUGUCAUGAGUAUUCCUAUUUAUACUUGAAUGAAAAUAUAUUGUUAUUCAUCCACUGGGCAUAAGCUCAACGCAUUGGACUUUUCCAUGCGCAGGUAAUAGAUAAAGGAAGCAACAAUCAAGAGGUCUGGUUCUGCAUUAGCAUGGAGACAUCAUCAUAACCAGUUAUUCACAAGUUUUGUAUAGAAGUUGUUUAUGUUUGGCAUGUACAUUAGUAGUCUACCAAGAGUCUAUAAAUGAGUGUUGAAAAUAGUACAAGUAUAAAUAAAUGUGUUUACUAUUUUAAGUUAUUAUGUUCUAUUUAUGGAUUUAAUAGUGUGAAAUGCGCAAUUAUUGAGAUUUUAUGACUAUUUUCCAUAGGGAUAAUUGCUCAUAAGUCGGGGAAACUCUUCUAGUUUCUUCCUUUAAAAUUGUUUUGUGAGUUAACAUACAUUUAAACAAACUAAAUAACAAUUUAUAAUGUAAAAGCUAACUUAAGUCCACAUAUAUAAUUGCAUAUGGUAUAGUAUGUGGCAUCCUUUACUGAGCCAUUUUAUAGACGAGUAAGGGUUGUUACAUUUUUUGGUAUCAGAGCAGAGGUUUAGGCGGUUCUAGGAUAUAGCAUAAUUGAAUGUACAUGCCAAAUGUGUCAAGGUUAUGAUAUAUCUUUGUAAAAUUGAUGCAGACCUAUUUUGAGUCUUUAAUUGUAUACAGAGAAUGUUCGAGGAAUCACAACGUGCUAUGGAUGAGGAGAUGGGAAGUCAUGCCCCCUCGGAACCUGUUGAGCCAGCAGUUGCACCAGCUCCUCCUAGUGAAGAUAAGCCAGGACAGGAUGCAUUCUUACAAUAGCUGGCAGAUAUGUUUAGAUGAGUUUUAGGGGUAGCACCUGUCAGGUGCCACCACCAGUUGCAAUACAUGUGCAGGCUCUUGCUAGACCACCAAUAGACAAGUUUAGAAAAUAUGGAGCUAUCGAAUUCAAAGGCAGAAGAGAAGAUGAUGCUCCAGCAGCAGAGUACUGGCUGCAAAGUACACAGAGAGUGUUGCAACAGCUCCAAUGCACACCACCAGAUAGUGUGGCUUGUGCAGUUGCCUUGUUACAAGAGGAAGCCUAUCAGUGGUGGGACACCACAUUGCAGACAGUGCAACCUGAGUAGCGGACUUGGGAACUCUUUCUAGCUGAGUUUAGGAAGAAGUAUAUUGAAGAUUUGUAUCUGGAUGAAAAGAAAAGAGAGUUCAUGUAUUUGAGACAGGGCAAGAUGACUGUCAGUGAGUAUGAAAAAGAUUUCAUCAGACUGAGUAAGUAUGUCCGGGAAAUGGUACCUAUAGAGAAAGCUAGAUGUAAGAAAUUUGAGCAGGGUUUGCAUAGUGACAUUAGGGUGCUUUUGGCAGCCCAUCCCAUCAGAGAGUUCUCUACUCUGGUAAAUGCAGCAUUGAAUAUAGAAAAGAUAAAAGAAGAAGAACAGAACUGGAGACAGAGAGGACAAUAGAAGAGAGGACAAACCCAGUUACAGGGGCAAUCCUCAGCCUCUCAGGCACCUAUUAAGAGACAAAGUGGUGCCCAGCCAUUAGGGCAGAGUCAGGUACAGAGACAAAGGCAGGGACCAGCUCAGGUUUUUACAGGAAGAUUUGGGCAGCAAACUAGUACUACUAUAGCCAAUUCAGGAAAGCAGGCAGGGGACAAUACCCAUUAUGUGAGCACUGUGGUAGAAGGCAUUUGGGACCCUGCAGAAAAUUUACAGGAGCUUGCUUCAGGUGUGGAUCUACUGAGCAUCUUAUGAGAGAUUGUCCUAGGGGACAGGUAUCAUUAGCACCACCUAUAGAGAGGCUUGUUCCUGCUGGACCUAGAGGAAGAGGAAGGGGUAGAGGUAAUCAAACAGGGGCAACUUCAGCCAGUCAGAGGGUGUUUGAAACAGUAGAUAGACCAGACUUCAGAACACCGGCUAGAGCCUAUGCUAUCAGGGCUAAGGAGGACAAGGACUCCCCAGAUGUGAUUGUUGGUACAUUCUCAAUCUUUGAAAAACCUGUGCAUGCAUUGAUAGACCCAGGAUCUACACAUUCAUACAUAUGUUUACCCAUUAAUGAAGGGAAAUUACAUGCAAAUUCUCUAAACCAAGAUAUAAUAGUAACCAACCCCCUUGGUCAUAGUGUGAUAGUGAGUAAAGUAUAUAGGGAUUGUCCUAUAUCCAUCCAUGGUCAGACUUUCCAUGGUGAUUUGAUAGAGUUACCCUUUAGAGAAUUUGAUGUAAUCCUUGGCAUGGACUGGUUAUCUAGUCAUCGAGUAAAAGUAGAUUGCAGAUCAAAAAAAAUUACAUUGAAAACACUUGCAGAUCACGAUGUGGUAGUUGUAGAGGAGAGGUCAGAUUACCUGUCUAAUAUUAUAUCGACUGCUAAAGCUAGGAGAUUAAUCAGCAAGGGUUGUGACACCUACCUAGUCUGUGCACUUGAAACCAAAAAGGAGAAUCCAGGUGUGCAUGACAUAUCCACAGUGUGUGAUUUCUCUGAUGUUUUUUUUGAUGAUCUUCCCGAGUUACCACCAGAGAGAGAGGUGGAAUUUGCCAUAAAUGUUAUACUAGGCACUACACCUAUCUCUAUUGCUCCUUAUAGGAUGGUACCUACUGAACUAAAAAAGUUAAAAAUACAAUUACAAGAAUUGUUUGACAAGGGUUUCAUACGACUUAGUAUCUCACCUUGGGGCGCACCUGUAUUGUUUGUAGAAAAGAAGGAUGAGACACUAAGGUUGUGUAUAGAUUACAGACAACUAAAUAAGGUGACAAUUAAAAAUAAAUACCCUUUGGCCCGAAUAGAUGACUUGUUUGAUCAAUUAAAAGGAGCAAGUGUCUUUUCUAAAAUUGAUUUGAGCUCGGGAUAUCACCAGUUGAAGAUUAAAGAAAUAGAUGUCUCUAAAACUGCUUUUAGAACCCGAUAUGGACACUAUGAAUUUCUUGUUAUGCCUUUUGGGUUAACUAAUGCUCCUGCAGCUUUCAUGAAUCUAAUGAACCGCAUCUUCCAUCCUUGCCUAGAUCAGUUUGUAGUAGUAUUCAUAGAUGAUAUCUUAAUAUACUCAAAGACUAAGGAAGAUCAUGAUCAACAUUUGAGGAUAGUAUUACAGACUCCGAGAGAGAAACAGCUUUAUGCCAAGCUUAGUAAAUGUGAGUUUUGGCUAAAUGAUAUAUCCUUUCGUGGACACGUCGUGUCAACUGAAGGAAUCAGAGUAGACCCUAAAAAGAUAGAAGCUAUCCUUGAAUGGAAACCACCUAAGAAUGUAGCAGAGGUUAGGAGUUUUCUGAGUUUGGCUGGAUACUAUAGGCGGUUUGUAAAGGGAUUUUCAAUCAUUGCUGCCCUAUUGACUAAAUUGUUGCACAAGAAUAUUAAGUAUGACUGGGAUGACAAAUGUCAGAAGAGUUUUGAAAAGCUUAAAAAGAUGCUUAUAGAGGUACCUGUCCUAACACAGUCAGAAUCAGGUAAAGAUUUUGUGAUCUACAGCGAUGCCUCACAUAAUGGGCUGGGUUGUGUACUUAUGUAGGAGGGGAAGGUAGUUGCUUAUGUUUUAAGACAAUUAAAACCAUAUCAGAAGAACUACCCUACCCAUGAUUUAGAGUUAGCAGCCAUAGUCUUUGCAUUAAAGAUAUGGAGGCAUUACCUGUAUGGAGAAAAAUGUUAUAUCUAUACAGAUCAUAAAAGUUUAAAAUAUUUACCCACACAAAAGGAGUUUAACCUGGGACAGAGAAGAUGGUUAGAGUUGCUUAAGAAUUAUGACUGCAUUAUUGACUAUCAUCCAGGUAAGGCCAAUCUGGUAGCAGAUGCACUUAGCAGGAAAUCAUUAGUUGCUCUGAGAGUUUUGAAUGCUUGUCUAUCUUUAGCUAAUGAUGGGGCUAUUCAUAGCAGAACUAAAGCUUAGACCCAAUCUACUCCAACAAGUCCAGGAAGCACAGAAAGGGGAUACUGAAAUAGCUUUGUGGAUAAGGCAAGUCCAAGAGGGGAAAAAGCAGAAACAUGUGGUUCGGGAUGAUGGCUAUUUGUAUUAUGAAGGCAGAAUAUGUGUAUCUAAUGUUGAUGACCUGAGGAAGAACAUUUUGGAGGAAGCACACAGUAGUUCAUAUGCUAUGCAUCCUGGUAGCACUAAAAUGUAUCAAGAUUUGAAAUUGCAUUAUUGGUGGCCAGGUAUGAAGAAAGAUAUAGUUGAAUUUGUGGCUAAAUGUCUGACUUGUCAGCAGGUGAAGGCUGAGCAUCAAGUUCUUUCUGGUCUUUUACACCCUAUUUCCAUAUUAGAAUGGAAGUGGGAUAGGAUCACUAUGGAUUUUGUUGUGGGAUUGCCACUGACACCAAGAAAAAAAUAUGUCAUCUGGGUGAUUGUAGAUAGAUCGACUAAGUCAGCACAUUUCUUACUAGUGAGAACCGAUUACUCAUUAGAGAAAUAUGCAAAACUAUACAUCAAUGAAAUAGUUUGGUUACAUGGAGUACUUCUUUCCAUUAUUUCAGAUAGGGACCCGAGGUUCACAUCCAAAUUUUGGAAGAAAUUGCAUGAAGCACUGGGUACUAAGUUGAAAUUUAGUACGGCUUUCAUCCUCAAACAGAUGGGCAAUCUGAAAGGGUAAUUCAAAUACUAGAAAAUAUGCUUAGAAGUUGUGUUAUAGAAUUCGAAAGGAGCUGGGAGAGAUACCUUCCAUUGAUUGAAUUUGCAUACAAUAGCAGUUAUCUGGCAAGUAUUAAAAUGGCACUUUAUGAAGCAUUGUAUGGAAGGAAAUGUAGAACUCCAUUGUGUUGGACAGAACUCAGUGAGGCUAAAUUGAUAGGUCCAGAUUUGGUGAGGAAACAGAAGAGAAAGUUAGAACUAUCAAGGAAAGGUUGAAAACAGCUUCAGAUAGACAGAAGUCUUAUGCAGAUUUGAAGAGAAAAGAUAUAGCAUAUGAAGUUGGAGAUAAAGUGUUUCUUAAAGUCUCUCCAUUGAAGAGGGUGCUCACAUACUGGGUAUUGUCCCCUGCCUGCCCCUCCUGAAUUGGCUAGAGUAGUACUAGUUUGCUGCCCAAACCUUCUUGGAAAAAUCUGUACUGGUCCCUGCCUUUGUCUCUGUACCUGACUCUGCCUUGAUGGCUAGGCACCCCUUUGUCUCUUAAUAGGUGCCUGAGAGGCUGAGGAUUGCCCCUGUAACUGGGUUUGUCCUCUCUUCUGCUGUCCUUUCUGUCUCCAACUCUGUUCUUCUUCUUUUAUCUUUGCUAUAUUCAAUGCUGCAUUUACCAGAGUAGAGAACUCUCUGAUGGGAUGGGCUGCCAAAAGAACCCUAAUGUCACUAUGCAAACCCUGCUCAAAUUUCUUACAUCUAGCUUUCUCUGUAGGCACCAUUUCCCGGGCAUACUUACUCAGUCUGAUGAAAUUUUUUCAUACUCAUUGACAGUCAUCUUGCCCUGUCUCAAAUACAUGAACUCUCUUCUCUUUUCAUCCAGAUACAAAUCUCCAAUAUACUUCUUCCUAAACUUAGCUAGAAAGAAUUCCCAAGUCCGCUGCUCAGGUUGUACUGUCUGUGAUGUGGUGUCCCACCACUGAUAGGCUUCCUCUUGUAACAAGGCAACUGCUCAAGCCACACUAUCUGGUGGUGUACAUUGGAGUUGCUACAACACUCUCUCUGUACUUUGCAGCCAGUACUUUGCUGCUGGAGCAUCAUCUUCUCUUCUGCCUUUGAAUUUGAUAGCUCCAUAUUUUCUAAGCUUGUCUAUUGGUGGUCUAGCAGGAGUCUGCACAUGUACUGCAACUGGUGGUGACACCUAAGGUGCUGCCCUUGAAACUCAUCUAAACAUAUCUGCCAGCUGUUGUAAGAAUGCAUCUUGUCCUGACUUAUCUUCACUAGGAGGAGCUGGUGCAACUGCUGGCUCAACGGAUUCUGAGGGGGCAUGACUUCCCACCUCCUCAUCCAUAGCACGUUGUGAUUCCUUAGACAUCCUCUGUAUACAAUUAAAGACUCAAAAUAGGUCUGCAUCAAUUUUACAGAGAUACAUCAUAACCUUGACACAUUUGGCAUGUACAUUCAAUUAUGCUAUACCCUAGAACCGCCUAAACCUUUGCUCUGAUACCAAAAAAUGUAACAACCCUUACUUGUCUAUAAAAUGGCUCAGUAAAGGAUGCCACAUACUAUACUAUAUGCAAUUAUAUAUGUGGACUUAAGUUAGCUUUUACAUUAUAAAUUGUUAUUUAGUUUGUUUAAAUGUAUGUUAACUCACAAAACAAUUUUAAAGGAAGAAACUGCAAGAGUUUUCCCUGCUUAUGAGCAAUUAUCCCUAUGGAAAAUAGUCAUAAAAUCUCAAUAAUUGCGCAUUUCACACUAUUAAAUCCAUAAAUAGAACAUAAUAACUUAAAAUAGUAAACACAUUUAUUUAUACUUGUACUAUUUUCAACACUCAUUUAUAGACUCUUGGUAGACUACUAAUGUACAUGCCAAAUAUAAACAACCUUUAUAUAAAACUUGUGAAUAACUGGUUAUGAUGAUGUCUCCGUGCUGAUGCAGAACCAGACCUCUUGAUUGUUGCUUCCUUUAUCUAUUACCUGCGUAUGAAAAAGUCCAAUGCACUGAGCUUAUGCCCAGUGGGUGAAUAACAAUAUAUUUCAUUCAAGUAUAAAUAAGAAUACUCAUGACAGUUACAACGAAAUUAUUUUAUAAAAACGAGUGAAAAUUUUAUGUCAGUGGAUGAAAAGUGGGCAAAUUAAGUCAUGUAGUUGUAUAACUGUAAGAUCAUUCAUAUUUAUGGCAAUCAUCUUGUGUGCACACUUGUAAGGUAUUAACAAGUCAUAUAAUUAAAUCUUAGCCCCUAUAAACUCUUCGCAGGAUCAACUAGCUAGAUAAGGGAAAACUAUAUUUGUAUAGCACAAAGUGCCAAACUGUAUGAUCUGGGGGCCGAAUGCUGUGCCCAUAUGGCUCAAAAGCCGAAAAACUGUAUGACACAUAGUGUGUCGAAAAUAUUAUAUCACGUAGCCCAUUAGGGCGCAAUACUGCUAAACUGUAUAUGGCAUGCCAUACCCUUAUUCUUACUAUGACUCCCACCAUGGUUUAGUAGGGCCAAGAAUACAUAUUUACAUGUUAAAUAUUUAUUGUACUAAAAUUAUUCAUUUAGAUGCUUAACAGGUUGAAACAAGCAAGUAUGUCGAACUACUUAUUCAUAAGCAUACACGUCGAUAAACGAGUCAUUAAAUGCAUACAUAUGUGUAUACUAGACCAUAACUAGUCAUGAACAUAAUAUUCAGUCAUGAAUAUAUUACCACUUCAUUAAGAACAUGUGUGUAAAGUUUUAGUCUAUUAAGCUUGCACGUGCGUAAAGCAGGGAUGUCAAGCUAGCACGUGCGUAAUUUGGCCGCAAAGCUAAUAUGUCAAUCCCUUUUAGGUCAACAUUUAGAUUUAGGUUUGUCUCUACCUUAGAUUGCGUCACAUUUCUAAGUGUAUUAUGGACAUAAUUAGACUCACCUUUUUUCAUGAACUUUGUGCAUUUAUAUCUUAGCUUUCUAACAAGAUAUAUUACAUUUAAUUCUGGCCUUCCUAACUUAAGUUAUGAAUUUUUCUUUACAAGCUGCCCAAUCAGGUUCUAA